AUACGGAGGACGCGAGCGUUAUCCGGAUUCAUUGGGUUUAAAGGGUGCGCAGGCGGCCGUGCAAGUCAGCGGUGAAAGCCCGGGGCUCAACCCCGGAAGUGCCGUUGAUACUGCAUGGCUGGAAUGCGGUCGAGGCGGGCGGAACGUGGCGGGUGGCGGUGAAAUGCGUAGAUAUGCCACAGAAAGCCGAUAGCGGAGGCAGCUCGCCAGGCCUGCAUUGACGCUCGGGCACGAAAGCGUGGGGAUCGAACAGGAUUAGAUACCCUGGUAGUCCACGCCGUAAACGAUGGGCGCUCGUCGUCGGCGGCAGACAGUCGGCGGCCAAGCGAAAGCGAUAAGCGCCCCACCUGGGGAGUACGGUCGCAAGGCUGAAACUCAAAUGAAUUGACGGGG
rnacentral:rRNA from 1 species